AGUCUCUAAGUGUGAUGACAAUGGCAACCUUGCUGGACCCAAGAUUUAAAACCAUUGGAUUCCUGAGUCCCAACAGGUCACAAGAGGCAGUACGACGACUAAAGGCAGAAUGUUCGGCAACUAUCAGCAACAGUGAAGUUGUUCAACUUCCAGGUCCAGCAGAGGCAGCUGAAGGUACCAGCAGCUCUGGUAUGAUUUUAUUCAUCAUGUAAAUUGCUGUAUUUCAAACCUUUCAAGUGUUCCAUAUGAUCAUUACAAAUCUGUGUUUUAACUAUUUUUAGGUGAACUGUGGUCUCUGCUGGAUGAAACUGUGGAUCAGAGAAG